UGGGGUAGCUCAGUUGGCCAGAGCCUCUGGCUUCCCAGUGAGAGGUCAGGGGUUCGAAGUCCCCUCGGCACAA